AAUGACUCUCAGCAACGGAUAUCUUGGCUCUUCGAAAUGCGAUACCUAGUGUGAAUUGCAGAAUUCCGCGAAUCAUUGAGUUUUUGAACGCAAGUUGCGCCCGAGGCUCAUCCCGAGGGCAUGCCCGUCUGAGCGUCCGCUCUGACCCACCCACGAA
rnacentral:rRNA from 1 species